UGGGGAAUAUUGCACAAUGGGGGAAACCCUGAUGCAGCAACGCCGCGUGAGCGAAGAAGGCCUUCGGGUCGUAAAGCUCUGUCCUAAGGGAAGAAUAAUGACGGUACCUUAGGAGGAAGCCCCGGCUAACUACGUGCCAGCAGCCGCGGUAAUACGUAGGGGGCGAGCGUUAUCCGGAAUCACUGGGCGUAAAGGGUGCGUAGGCGGCCAAUCAAGCCAGGGGUGAAAGGCUACGGCUCAACCGUAGUAAGCCUUUGGAACUGAUUGGCUUGAGUGCAGGAGAGGAGAGUGGAAUUCCUAGUGUAGCGGUGAAAUGCGUAGAUAUUAGGAGGAACACCAGUGGCGAAGGCGACUCUCUGGACUGUAACUGACGCUGAGGCACGAAAGCGUGGGGAGCAAACAGGAUUAGAUACCCUCGUAGUC
rnacentral:rRNA from 1 species